rnacentral:lncRNA from 1 species
UGACCACCGGUGUUGCCACCCAUUGAAACCACACUUUGGGUUAUGUCGUCCGACCUCCUUACCAUCCUUUUCAAAGGUCAUGAUGGUCAGUGAUUGGCCAAUGAUCGAAAAAAUCAUGGAGAAAAGGUGGAUCCCUUAUUUUUGAAUCACUCUCUCAUAUUUUUUGUCGGCUGGUCAUUGCCAUCGACUGCUGGUCGAGCCUUCUGGCAUGAUCUCG